GCUAUCUACAGGCUUAACACAUGCAAGUCGAGGGGCAGCAUGGUCUUAGCUUGCUAAGGCCGAUGGCGACCGGCGCACGGGUGAGUAACACGUAUCCAACCUGCCGUCUACUCUUGGACAGCCUUCUGAAAGGAAGAUUAAUACAAGAUGGCAUCAUGAGUCCGCAUGUUCACAUGAUUAAAGGUAUUCCGGUAGACGAUGGGGAUGCGUUCCAUUAGAUAGUAGGCGGGGUAACGGCCCACCUAGUCUUCGAUGGAUAGGGGUUCUGAGAGGAAGGUCCCCCACAUUGGAACUGAGACACGGUCCAAACUCCUACGGGAGGCAGCAGUGAGGAAUAUUGGUCAAUGGGCGAGAGCCUGAACCAGCCAAGUAGCGUGAAGGAUGACUGCCCUAUGGGUUGUAAACUUCUUUUAUAAAGGAAUAAAGUCGGGUAUGCAUACCCGUUUGCAUGUACUUUAUGAAUAAGGAUCGGCUAACUCCGUGCCAGCAGCCGCGGUAAUACGGAGGAUCCGAGCGUUAUCCGGAUUUAUUGGGUUUAAAGGGAGCGUAGAUGGAUGUUUAAGUCAGUUGUGAAAGUUUGCGGCUCAACCGUAAAAUUGCAGUUGAUACUGGAUAUCUUGAGUGCAGUUGAGGCAGGCGGAAUUCGUGGUGUAGCGGUGAAAUGCUUAGAUAUCACGAAGAACUCCGAUUGCGAAGGCAGCCUGCUAAGCUGCAACUGACAUUGAGGCUCGAAAGUGUGGGUAUCAAACAGGAUUAGAUACCCUGGUAGUCCACACGGUAAACGAUGAAUACUCGCUGUUUGCGAUAUACAGCAAGCGGCCAAGCGAAAGCGUUAAGUAUUCCACCUGGGGAGUACGCCGGCAACGGUGAAACUCAAAGGAAUUGACGGGGGCCCGCACAAGCGGAGGAACAUGUGGUUUAAUUCGAUGAUACGCGAGGAACCUUACCCGGGCUUAAAUUGCAGAUGAAUUACGGUGAAAGCCGUAAGCCGCAAGGCAUCUGUGAAGGUGCUGCAUGGUUGUCGUCAGCUCGUGCCGUGAGGUGUCGGCUUAAGUGCCAUAACGAGCGCAACCCUUGUUGUCAGUUACUAACAGGUUCCGCUGAGGACUCUGACAAGACUGCCAUCGUAAGAUGUGAGGAAGGUGGGGAUGACGUCAAAUCAGCACGGCCCUUACGUCCGGGGCUACACACGUGUUACAAUGGGGGGGUACAGAGGGCCGCUACCACGCGAGUGGAUGCCAAUCCCAAAAACCUCUCUCAGUUCGGACUGGAGUCUGCAACCCGACUCCACGAAGCUGGAUUCGCUAGUAAUCGCGCAUCAGCCACGGCGCGGUGAAUACGUUCCCGGGCCUUGUACACACCGCCCGUCAAGCCAUGGGAGCCGGGGGUACCUGAAGUGCGUAACCGCGAGGAGCGCCCUAGGGUAAAACUGGUGACUGGGGCU
rnacentral:rRNA from 1 species